CGAACUUGGCUCCAGCAGCUCUGGUCCAGAGUGGAGGGAAGAACGUGGCGACGGGUCCGCGAAGUGGCUUCAUACAUGAUGAUAGCUCAUAAGUGAAGAACGGAUGGCAAGUCUUGUGUCACCAGAUAAAUUACUAAGUGACUGACAAGUAGGUAGCUGAGGAGAGCUGAUUCAUGCUCCCAGCCCCAGUGACGUGGAAUGUAGCAGCACAAAAUUUCCUCAUGCAAAUCAGAUAGUAGUCAGCCAAUUUCUUUACUGUAAGUAGCUUGUGUGGGUCCUGAAGUCACUGGGGCUGUCAGCACCUUCCUUCUGGAUCCCAUCUCACCAUCCCAGGAAUGCAAAUGUAUUGGUUACAGAAAAAGCUCCAAUAAGCCCAGCCAGGAGAUGCUAUGUGAGGAAGCUCAAGCCACAUAAGGAGUAAAGUAACUUCUAUAAAUGGAGAACCUGGGGCCAUGAUUAUGCACCAGUAUUGCCCUAGCUUGGCAGUCAUACUUGGAAUGAAGCAGAAAAUGUGAUAGAGGAGAAGAAAAGGGGGAAAGAGAAGAGCAGGGACAUAUUUUAAAUGACCAAUUCUCACUCCAAGUUUCUUGAUGCCAUCUUUGGUUUAUGUUACCUGGGCUUGAUCCAUAG